GCGUGCACACACACACAUACACUUAAAUUCUACCGUUAUCUUCUGAAAGGCACUUUUUCAUUUUAUAGCAUUCCUGGAGUUAAAGGUGUUAAACUGUUUAGUGUAAACAUUUAAAAUUGCACCCAAUUUUGCAGCCCUGUUUUGCAUUUCUUAACUUUUUUUAAUACAUGAAAACCUUAAAACAUGGUAGUAGUUUAAACUUAUCUUGGCCUUUGAGAGGUGGAGAUAAUGGAUAUGAUUCUACUAUUGAAGCAACCGAAAUAAGUGGGCCUUAGCCAACACUUCCUCAUUAAAUUUCUUAUUUACAAUAUAUUUUUUAAAGAACAAUGUCUUAUAUUCAAUAGAAUCUUCAAAUGCUGAUGGUGCACUUGGGUUCAAGGUGGAAUGUUUUCCUUUGGCAUUGCACUCACUCCCGGGUAGCGUUCAGGAUAAAGGAAAGCCAAGUAUCACAUCUGUAAGAUGUGAAAUUUAAUUAGACUCUGAUUUGUUAGACUAAUAGCAAAUCAUGCACAUUGGACAAGUGUUGAUCCCUUAGAAAUUCUCACAAACCUGGACAGUUAUACAAUGUGCUUUAAAUAGAUUUGAAAGUAGUUUGUGAGCAGUGACAAAAUUUUGGCUUUUGUGAGUAAAAUACAUUUUUGGGAAAUAUGGUGUAUAGCUUCUUAAGCCAAAUUUGAUAGAGAGAGAGAAAAAAAAGGAGGGGAUUACAUAAUCAAGAGGCUAAUUGUCUUUUGUGCAGCUGGAAUGAGGGCCAGUCAUUACUUUAAAGCCAGCCUCUGAUAACUGUCUAGAGAGAGAGGAGGGUCUGAUGGGCUCAUGUUACAUUUGAGAAAAUAAUGUGAGUGAAUUUAUGUUGGAGGCUUAAACACAGUGCCUAAAAUUUGGGGGAACAAAAUGAUCUGAGAAGCCAAGAAGAGCAGGGACUCAGCAGGUUGGUGGACUCUUGACAGCUCCCCAAGGAAACGCUGAGACAUUUUGGUGUUUUUUUUUUUUAAUGCCAUUGUUUAAAAUUACACUAACAUUCAAGGAAACUUAUAAAUGGAAAGUUACUCUUCUAGAGAUGGUCUUGUCUUUCAACCAGCACAAAUCACAAAACUUUCUGCUGUGUGUCUUCUCAAGAAGGGAUGGUAGAAGGGACAUUUUAUGUGGUGGCUGUAGCGUGGGUGCUAUUCAAAUCCAAGGUACAUUUCAGUAUACGGCGGAGAUGAUUCCUGUAGCAUCCCAUAGGCCAGAAACAGAAAGUUUGCUGUAGUUUUCUUGCCUCUUACACUAAUAGGGGUCAUGGGAUCUACUAUAUAAUUGAUAUUCUCAGAAAAUCUCCAAAUUCCAUUUUUGCCAAGAGUUUCAACUUCUUUCCCUCCCCUAGCAUUUUCUCAGAAUUGGCAAAUAUGUGAUUAACUGAACUCAUUUGAGCAUAUUUGUAUCUCUUAUAGAAGGGCUAACAAAUAAAUUUUUCAUGUGAAAUUGACUGGUCUGUUUGUAUAAAGGAGGCUUAGCAAUCAGAUUGAGAAACAAAAGCACAGGUAUAUUCAGGCACUGAAAAUAUAAAGCAAUAUUUGCUAAAACAGAAAAAUCUAGAUGACCUUAAUCAUCCCCUGUGCUCUUAGAAAGUUCUGCUCCAAUCUGCAACUUUGAUCUGGAGAUUUUAUAGUAGCAAAUAGAAGCAGGGAUAAUAGGAGAAUAUGGUCUCUUAGAUAUUCUUUAUGACUAAAACCUAAGAAUAGCAUAUCUGUGGUCGUUGGGUUAUACCCGGCAGUACCUGCUGGAAGAUGCUGGCUGGCGCCCAGGGCUGAGAAAGGGAGACGAGUCUUCACGACAGACCCAUGUACUGGGAUGUCACCUUCCAGGCACCACAUUAAGAACUCCUCUGGCAUAGUACGUUUUUUAAAGCUUUUCAGAUCUAACACAUGUGAUGACUGUUACUUUCAGUGCCCUGCAGCCCCUCUAGUUUUUGAGGGCAAGUGAAGAGGAUGGGCAUAAUUACCACCAAAUAAAAGGGGAUGAAUUGAAGGGUUGGGGCUCAGAGACCACAUACCCAUGUGGUCAGAGAGUCCAAGUCCAGACCUGUUAUAAGCCUGGCCAGUAGUGUGCUGGUAAAUGUUAACAGCCAGCCCUCUGUGAAGACACCAAAAAAAGCCUGUUUUUAGUAUUUGCUGAUUUCUGUGGCAAAAAUUCUCCAUCAGCCCUUUUCAAGCUGUGCAGGUCACUAAGUGGGGAGUUGACAAGAGAUGUAUAAAAGCACAUACAGAUAGAUGUAAAUGACCUCAAGAACAAGCAUAAUGGUAAAAUGUAGUAGAACUAUUAGAAAGAGAUGUGAUUUGAAUAUUUAUUACCAUUGUUUACAUUAUUAAUUGUAAGUUUAUAUAACUUAAUUUUUAAUGUUCGCUAGGUAUGAAAACCAACUAAAAAAUCCUCCCCCAAAUUGAACAGCCUACUUUUGCCCACUGCUAUGGACAGCUCCAGAGCACCACUGGUGCUUCAUUAGCCAUGGAGAAAUAUUUACUUUGUAUUAGAGAUAUAAUGAGUAGAAAAAUCGAUGAGAUCGCUGCUGCCAUAAAGCUUGCAUUCUAGUAGAGGAAAGCAGAAAAUAAACAAGUUAACAACCAAAUAAAACAAAACAUGGACUGGGUUAGGAGAUUCUGUUUGGGGAAGUCAAGGAAGCCUUCAAAACAUGACAACUUACUUAUAUAUAAGUUGAAACAUAUCCAUGCCUUAUGUUCGUGAAUACAUUUACAGUCCUAAGCAGACAAGAUAUAUCUCAGAAUUGUACCAAGCCAGUGGAACCCUAUGGAUAUUGACCUCGUACUGACUGUGUAACGAGUAAUGGUUUUGAUUCCAUUCCUUUCCAGUCUCUUGUGUGAAUUUGCCUUUGCUUCUCCUUUAUUGUAAAAAUACUAGGAAGAGGAGGAAGUUUACAAUAUACUUCGAUUACAUUAUUUCCUCUAAUCCUCAAGAAGUUUCAUAUGUAGAAAACACUAAAGUCAAAAAAUUGGAAGUUAGAAAUCAGUAUCAAUAGUAUGUCCUAUAGUAGCACCUUUUUUUUUUUUGCUUGAUGUGUCUGUCCACAUCUACCCAUAAAACAUACAUGGCAUAAGCUAAGAGUGAUUAUCUGAUGGAUUUUUGAUUUUCAAAAAUAAUCAUAUAAAUUUAAAAUCUUGGCUCAGAAGGCA